UAGGUGAACCUGCGGAAGGAUCAUUAUUGUACAAUGGAGGUGCAAGGGUUGUUGCUGACCUUUCAAAGGUCGUGCACACCUGAGUGGCCUUCACACAAUCCAUUUCACCCUUUGUGCAUCACUGCGUGGGUUCUCCUGGAAGGGAGGGCCUGCGUUUUUUUUUCCACACAAACCCUAAAAGCAGUGUAGAAUGUAUUUUUCUUUUUGCGGUGACACGCAAUCAAUACAACUUUCAACAACGGAUCUCUUGGCUCUCGCAUCGAUGAAGAACGCAGCGAAAUGCGAUACGUAAUGUGAAUUGCAGAAUUCAGUGAAUCAUCGAAUCUUUGAACGCACCUUGCGCCCCUUGGCAUUCCGAGGGGCACACCCGUUUGAGUGUCGUGAAAUUCUCAAAACCCUUUCUUUGAUAUUUUUGAUCAAGAAAUGGAUUUUGGACUUGGGGGAUCAAUGCUCACUCUCACUUAUUGAAGGUGGGCUCCUCUCAAAUGAAUUAGUGGGGUUUGCUUUGCUGAUCCUUGACGUGAUAAGAUAUUUUUGUUUUACGUUUUUGAUUUAGCACUGUCCCUCCAACUGUCUUAUGGACAAUGAUGGCGUUCUGGUCACCACUGCCUUCGGUGGAUGGCUGGACCCACAAGAAAACCUUGACCUCAAAUCGGGUGAGACUACCCGCUGAACUUAAGCAUAUCAAUAAGCGGAGGAAAAGAAACUAACAAGGAUUCCCCUAGUAACUGCGAGUGAAGCGGGAAAAGCUCAAAUUUAAAAUCUGGUGGUCUUUG
rnacentral:rRNA from 1 species